CCUCGCCCCGCCUCCACCUCCUGUCUAUCGCGAGCCCCAGAGCCGGGAGACGUCUCUGGGGACAUCAUGGCGUCAGGCGGCGGCGGCGGAGAGACCCUGGGUGGGCCGCGGGUGCUGGUGGUGGGCGGCGGCAUCGCGGGGCUGGGUGCAGCGCAGAGGCUGUGUGGUCACCCUGCUGCCCCCCACCUGCGCAUCCUGGAGGCCACGGCCCGCGCCGGGGGCCGCAUCCGCUCGGAGCGCGGCUUUGGUGGUAUGGUGGAGGUGGGUGCACACUGGAUCCAUGGGCCUUCCCAGGGCAACCCUGUCUUCCAGCUGGCUGCUGCCUUCGGGCUCCUGGGCGAGAAGGAGUUGUCGGAGGAGAACCAGUUGGUGGAUACAGGGGGCCACUUAGCCCUGCCCUCCAUGUGCUGCACCAGCUCUGGGACAAGGGUGAGCCUUGAGCUGGUGGCAGAGAUGGCCAGUCUGUUCUAUGAGCUGAUAGACCAGACCCGAGAGUUUCUGCAUGUGGCUGAGACCCCAGUGCCCAGUGUCGGGGAGUACCUCAAGAAGGAGAUCGGCCAGCACGUGGCCCACUGGACAGAGGACGAGGACACCAAGAAUCUCAAGUUGGCCAUCCUGAACACCUUCUUCAAUGUGGAGUGCUGCAUAAGUGGCACCCAUAGCAUGGAUCUGGUAGCUCUUGCCCCCUUUGGGGAGUACACUGUGCUGCCGGGGCUGGACUGCACCUUCUCUGGGGGCUACCAGGGACUCACAAACCACAUAAUGGGCUCCUUGCCAAAGGAUGUGAUGGUUUUUAACAAGCCUGUGAAGACUGUUCGCUGGAACGGGUCCUUCCAAGAGGCAGCAUUUCCCGGGGAGACCUUUCCUGUAUUGGUGGAGUGUGAUGAUGGUGGCCAGUUCCCAGCCCAUCACGUCGUCAUCACUGUGCCCUUGGGUUUUCUCAAAGAGCAUCAGGGGACCUUCUUUGAACCACCACUGCCUGCUGCGAAAGUGGAAGCAAUCAGGAAAAUAGGCUUUGGGACCAACAACAAAGUCUUCCUGGAGUUUCAGGAACCUUUCUGGGAGCCAGACUGCCAGUUCAUCCAGGUGGUGUGGGAGGACACGUCGCCCCUGCACGACAUUGCCUCUGGGCUGCAGGACACCUGGUUCAAGAAACUCAUUGGGUUUUUGGUCCUACCUUCUUUCAAGUCUGUGCAUGUGCUCUGUGGGUUCAUUGCUGGGCUGGAGUCAGAGUUUAUGGAGACUUUGUCCGAUGAAGAAGUGCUUCUCUCUUUAACCCAAGUGCUCCAGAAAAUGACAGGAAACCCACAGCUUCCUGCUCCCAAGAGUAUACUGAGGUCUCGCUGGCACAGUGCUCCAUAUACUCGGGGUUCCUACAGCUACGUGGCUGUGGGCAGCACUGGGGAUGACAUAGACCUGCUGGCUCAGCCUCUCCCUGAAGAUGGCACUGGCCCCCAGGAAUCGAACUCAGGACCUUGCACUUGCGAGGCAGCCACAGUGCCACUGAGCUAAAUCCCUGGCUGGCUAUAAAUUUUUUUAUUCUUCCAUCCACCCUGGCUGUCAAGUCUCCCUGACCUUCUCAGGGGUGAUUCAUUAACUCUGCUCCAGAUACUAUUUGCAGGGGAAGCCACGCAUCGGACAUUUUACUCCACGACACAUGGAGCCCUGCUGUCUGGCUGGAGAGAGGCUGACCGCCUCAUUGGUCUGUGGGACCUGAAGAUGCAGCAGACCCGGCCCAGGCUCUGAGCUGGGCUCCUACUGGCUGUCCUCCUUCUGGAUGGAAGGCUGGGACCCUCCUCUUCUCUGACAGAUGAUUUUCAGUCUGACUUGAGAUUUUGGGAUCUCACUGACAGUCCUUUUCGGGUAACUGAGUCAGUCACCUUCUCAUCUCUCACAUCUGUCAAAGGAGUCUGGCCAGGACUGAUCUUGGGCUGAGUGUGAUGUAUGGGAUAUUACUGUUCAUGGUGAUGGUUUGCACAUAAAGCAGUUAUCAACA